rnacentral:rRNA from 1 species
GACGAACGCUGGCGGCGUGCUUAACACAUGCAAGUCGAACGGAAAGGCCCUGCUUGCAGGGUACUCGAGUGGCGAACGGGUGAGUAACACGUGGGUGAUCUGCCCUGCACUUCGGGAUAAGCCUGGGAAACUGGGUCUAAUACCGGAUAGGAGCCAUUUUUAGUGUGAUGGUUGGAAAGUUUUUUCGGUGUAGGAUGAGCUCGCGGCCUAUCAGCUUGUUGGUGGGGUAAUGGCCUACCAAGGCGGCGACGGGUAGCCGGCCUGAGAGGGUGGACGGCCACAUUGGAACUGAGAUACGGCCCAGACUCCUACGGGAGGCAGCAGUGGGGAAUAUUGCACAAUGGGCGCAAGCCUGAUGCAGCGACGCCGCGUGGGGGAUGACGGCCUUCGGGUUGUAAACUCCUUUCGCUAGGGACGAAGCUUUUGUGACGGUACCUAGAUAAGAAGCACCGGCUAACUACGUG